rnacentral:rRNA from 1 species
GCGGAGGAAAAGAAACUAACAAGGAUUCCCCUAGUAACUGCGAGUGAAGCGGGAAAAGCUCAAAUUUAAAAUCUGGCGGUCUCCGGCCGUCCGAGUUGUAAUUUAGAGAAGCGUUAUCCGUGCUGGACCGUGUAUAAGUCUCCUGGAAUGGAGCGUCAUAGAGGGUGAGAAUCCCGUCUUUGACACGGACUACCAGUGCAUUGUGAUGCGCUCUCGACGAGUCGAGUUGUUUGGGAAUGCAGCUCAAAAUGGGUGGUAAAUGCCAUCUAAAGCUAAAUAUUGGCGAGAGACCGAUAGCGAACAAGUACCGUGAGGGAAAGAUGAAAAGAACUUUGGAAAGAGAGUUAAACAGUACGUGAAAUUGUCGAAAGGGAAACGGUUGCAGUCAGUCGCGUCCGCCGGGGAUCAACCUUGCUUUUGCUUGGCGUAUUUCCCGGUGGAUGGGUCAGCAUCAGUUUUGACCGCAGUUGAAAGGCUGGAGGAAUGUGGCACCUUCGGGUGUGUUAUAGCCUCCUGUCAUAUGCUGCGGUUGGGACUGAGGAACUCAGCACGCCGCAAGGCCGGGAUUCGUCCACGUUCGUGCUUAGGAUGCUGGCAUAAUGUCUGUAACCGACCCGUCUUG